ensembl:processed_transcript
CAUUUUCCUGUUGCGGUCCUUGCCAUCCGCUGCCAUGCCUCCUCUCCGCCACGCCUCCCCAUCAUUAUGGAGAUGGACUUGUCUUGGAACCAUAAGCCAAAUAAAGCCUUCCUUGUCCAGGCCUGCUUGAACCAAUAUUGCGACUGAAAUUUGUCGUAGGCUGGGGCAUUUGCUGGAACAGGAAAUGGAGAACAUUACGGCAGAGUGAAGCCCUUUUGUUUCCAGGUCGAAGCUGUUGUGUUUGUAAAGAAAAGGAAGCGGAGAACAGGCUGGCGCUGGUAUCAUUAUUUCCCCCUUCCUGAAUAUUUCCUACCAAGCAACUGCUUUGGAAAUAACAAAAUGAUUUCACUAUGGGAAAAAAUGCAGAGAAAAGAAUCCGGGGCUGUUUGAUUGGCUAAUAAUGAACAUAAAGGACUUCGUGCUUGUUGAAUGGCAGAUUGAAAUCCAGCUAGUUGGUGAGAACAUUCCAGGGUUCCAUGGGUGGCUUUCCGGAUUGCCUCUAGGACUUGCUUCUGGAGAGCAGAAUAGGAGCAAUAAAACAAAAAGAAGUUAUAUUUACAAUCUUAGACAUAAAAAUUUAUAGCAAGAAAACCCAUAAAGAUUGUACCUAUUGUCUGUGUACCCUAUUCCACCGUUUGCAUUGAGGAGAGACAGAAAUCAGAGGUAAACUGACUUUCCCAGGAUGUAAUAGUUAGUGUGUUCAGCCUGAAUUGUCUGUUCCCCAUGUGUGCAUCCUACACAUCCAGGGACAUGUGUGCAUCCAGGGACAACAGGGAAGAGUACUGGAUUCCCUGGGACUGGAGUUACAGACAGCUAGAACUACCACAGGGGUCCUGGAAACCAAACCAAGAUCCACUGCAGGAGCAGCACGUGCUCUCAAUUGAUGAACUGGCUCUCUAAUCUCACCUUGAUGGACUUAGUCCAGGGGAGUUGACCUUCCCUUCACUUGUGGCACUGUAGUUUGUGCAUGAUCACAGUAGUCUAGGCCUCCAGUCAACAGGACAGAAACUGCCAACUGGAAGUUUUUCCAUGUUGGAAAUACAACUGUGAGACCCAGAGCCUGGAAUUCCUGGCACAAGAACAUUUUCCCCAGAUUGCUUUAUAAUUAUUUCUUCAAGUGUCUGCCUCCUGACUAACGUGACAUGUGGAGCGAGUCACCGGUCAGAGUCUUCCUUGUCUCCAAAGCGCUUGGCAAGAUGCCUGAUAGCAAAUAUUUAUCGAAUACCAUCUGGGUGCCAAAGAACUCCUCCAGGGACCGCAGAAACUGCAAGGGAAACACUCCUGCUCUUGCCGAGAGAUGGCAGAUCCCUUGCGUGGCCAUUCGAUGCCUAUGUCUGGACACAGUGUAAGGACUAAGUCUUUUUGAUCUAGUGAAGACGGUCAAGUUUCAUGAGUUUUGUCUCUGCAUUAAGUGGAAGAUGCUACGAAGGGAACAAACCCUGGAGACGUGGAACUGCUGCUUCCUGGACUUAGCCAUGCUCAUCCUACUUUAAAAGCCUUCAGGUGUCUGAGACAUGUGGAUUUCCAGUCCUGUAUAACACUGCUUGUCCAUCCUCUGCACACAUUCAGCUUCUCUCAAUACUUGUUCAAGGAUGAUAAAGGGGUUUAAGUGCCUUUGGCCACAGAAAGAAAUGGGUAAGUUUGUUGAGAA